rnacentral:piRNA from 1 species
UAGGUGUCUUUUCAGUCUAAGGGAAUAGA